ACGCUAUGAUCAAUGGCUAUGCUCAGAAUGGACUCGCUAACGAUACGUUGGACCUCUACAGAGAGAUGAUGGAUUCGAGUUGGAUUUUCCCCAACGCUGUAACACUCGUUGGCGUUUUGUCGUCCUGUUCGAAUCUUGGGGCAAUUGACUUAGGCACAGAGGUCGAGAGGCGAAUUCACGCUUGUGGUUUCGUUCGGAUCCGUUUCUGAACAGCGGUUUGAUCAAUAUGUAUGCUAGGUGUGGCGAUUUAGCGAAAGCCAGAGGGAUUUUCGAUAGUCUUCCGGUGAAGAACUCAGUUGCGUGGACGGUAAUUAUAGGAGGCUAUAGAAUGCACUGACAAGGAGAGAUUGCAGCGGAACUCUUCGACGACAUGAUUAGAUCCGGUACGAGACCGGACCGAACAGCCCUUGUGAGUGUUCUGUCUGCGUGUAGCCAUGCCGGUCUGACUGAGAAAGGGUUACAUUAUUUCGAUACCAUGGAUUGGGAAUACCGGUUGCGUCCUGGUCUGGAGCAUUAGUCUUGUGUGGUGGAUCUUCUAGGUCGAGCUGGCCGAUUGGAUCAGGCUCAUAAGCUCAUCGCGUCCAUGGAAACAAAACCGGACAGUUCCGUCUGGGGAGCUCUUCUUGGUGCCUGCAGAAUACACAGAAAUGCCGAGUUGCCAGAGAUGGCUUUUGAAAAGGUUAUAGAGUUCGAACCUACAAAUAUCGGCUACUAUGUACUGUUAUCUAAUAUUUACAACGAUGCUGGGAAUUCGGAGGGGGUUUCGAGGAUCCGACUGAUGAUGAGAGAACGAAAGCUGAAGAAGGAUCCAGGGUGCAGUUCUGUCGAAUUUGAAGGCAAAGUUCAACUCUUUCUUUCGGGAGAGAGAAGCCAUCAGCAGUUGAAACAGAUAUAUGAAAUUUCGGACGAGCUGGAAGGUAAAGUAAAGGAAUUUGAUUCUGCAAUUGCGAAAUCAAGUUCUACUUUCCCAGAUUGCGGCGUGAUCAAGAAUGAACUGGAUUUUGAACAAUCCCAGAUUAACGGCAGCUUGCUGCAAUUCUUCGCAGAUAGUAGCAUUGUAUGAAUGUAUAAUAUACACAUUUGCACUUGACAGUCUGAUGUUCACUCGAUGAAAAUAGUCAUCGAAAACACGGAAUAUUCUCACCAUUAGUUAACAAUGUUUGGGCAAUUUCGGAACCAUUGAGCUUCCUCCAUCUUUUCUGGGUAAAAGUCAAGACAGUAAAAGUCAAGACGAGUUUUUCUUAUCUCGAUCUCAAAGCACAGAUCAAAUCAAAAACAGAAUUGCUAACCUCUGGUAUAACUCCUUGCUCUCUUCUCAAUGUUCGGGUUCUUUCACCACACUCACUAAAAUGGAUUUCGUGUCGGGCAGUUCCUUCCGAACCUUCUUCUUCAAGCUCUCGAGCUGUUUCUCCAUAGAAAGUUCAGAAAGAAACUCGAUAGCAGCCUUGAAUAAGUUAAGUUGCUUGUUUCUUCAUGCUGCCAUUUCUUCAGGAAAGAACCUGAUUACUUAAUUUAUCUCAUUGAGGCCAGGGUCACUGUUCAUGGACAAAAAGAACCAUAAUGUAAUAGGAAAAAGGAGCUAUAGGGUCAUAAAGAAG
rnacentral:lncRNA from 1 species